AGAAUCAUUAUUUGGGAAUGAUAGAAUGAACAUAAAACUCCUGAGUUACAGAAAUAAAGGACUGUUAAUUACUCAGAAUGAUGGCAGUAAUCAUGAUCUCAACAUUUGCUCCCAUUCCUUGAGCUACAAUUUCCAGAAUGUCAUGAAGGCAAUAACUGUCCUAGCAGUCGGUUGUUUUUCCAGGAGAGAAUCUCUGAGUUCAGGGAACACAAAUAUUCUAUAAUGGAUGAAAUAAAAUUGCUGCCAACUAUGCUGGGAAAUCAUAAAUGUCUUGCUAAUCGGGAAGUGGCUUUAAGUGAUAGAAGACAUGAAGAUUAACUUAAUUGUGCUCUAUGAUUCUGGGAUGGUGCCAUCCCAGAGUGUUUCAGAGCUUUUAUGACUUUUUGAUACC